UCUCGUCUUUUUCUUUCGUUUUUGGGUUUUGCUCUCUGUCACUCACUCUCCCUUCCUCUUUUCUUUUUCUUUUUUUCAUUGAAGAAGAAAUUGUUUUCUUCCUUAGAGCUAUUGGAGUUAAAGGAAUCAUGUGGUAGUGAUUUUCGUAUCAGUUGGUUCAGAUUGACAGAGAGAUUCAAUUUGGGGGUUUUCUUUGCUCUUUUCAGUUGGGGUUGAUUCCCUAUUCUGAUGAGUAGUUCUGGAGAUAGUUCACAAGAAGGGCUCAAUGUUGACUUGGGGGAUGGUUCUGCAAGUGGUACUGGCAAUAAGACAAAGCAAGGUCGGGGUCAAGGGAUAUGCAACUGGUGUGUAAAUAACAUGAGAAAAAGUAUCAGACUCCAGCAAACUUGAUGUGUGGGACACUGUCGUGUUUCUUAUUCCUAAAAUUAUUGAAUACUUAGUGCAUGUAUGUGAGUUUAUUAGUUAUAUAUUUUAGAGUUGAUGUAAAACUACCUUAUUGUGGAUGCAGGGCACCAUUGAAUUUUGUCCCGAACAGCAGCCUUUGAUUCAUGUCUUCAAGGGUGUAUGUAUAAAUGAAGAAUAGUGUAAAAUUGUGGAGCAGUUUCAAGAGUGAUUUGAAGUAAGCUUACUAUAAACCUUUCGAAGGAAUUAAAAGACGGUGGCAAUGUGGGGAUUCUCGUGUAGACCCAGACCAGUUGCAGCUGUUGUUUGAACAUUAGGAAAAAGAAGAGACUGCAGUAGCAGGAACAAGCUAAAUGAAAUGCUGAAAAUUGGAGUAAACAAAUGUUGAAUCACACAUCUGGCACAAAGUCUUAUGCUCGAAGCAAAGCACAAUAUGUAAGUUUAUGAUGCACUUGAAUGUUUAUUCUUUUUUCUUGUUCAUUGUUCUUUAUGUUCUUUUAUUUGUUCAAGUAUAUGAAAAACAGAAACGUAGAGGUCCAGAAGAAUAAUAGUACAAACAGUGACUUGUAGGUCGUCAAUUGAGGUAUAUAAUGUGAUAUUAUUUCUUGAUUCGGAACUUCUCCCAGAAUGAUUGAGGAUGCCGCAAUUAAAGACUUCUUGUAAUUCUA